UAGGGAAUCUUCGGCAAUGGACGAAAGUCUGACCGAGCAACGCCGCGUGAGUGAAGAAGGUUUUCGGAUCGUAAAACUCUGUUGUUAGAGAAGAACAAGGACGUUAGUAACUGAACGUCCCCUGACGGUAUCUAACCAGAAAGCCACGGCUAACUACGUGCCAGCAGCCGCGGUAAUACGUAGGUGGCAAGCGUUGUCCGGAUUUAUUGGGCGUAAAGCGAGCGCAGGCGGUUUCUUAAGUCUGAUGUGAAAGCCCCCGGCUCAACCGGGGAGGGUCAUUGGAAACUGGGAGACUUGAGUGCAGAAGAGGAGAGUGGAAUUCCAUGUGUAGCGGUGAAAUGCGCAGAUAUAUGGAGGAACGCCAGUGGCGAAGGCGGCUCUCUGGUCUGUAACUGACGCUGAGGCUCGAAAGCGUGGGGAGCAAACAGG
rnacentral:rRNA from 1 species